GAGAGAAUGAUCAAUACAGUAGAAAACAUCAGACACAUGGAGCUUCCUUUCUCCCUUUAGAGCAUUAGCACACAGGCGGUGAAUUGCAAGAAACAAGAUUUCACUGGGCCCUUCAAUGAACAUCUUUGGGCUUCUUGGCUCUGCAGAUUUGCAGUGAGUCCCCACCAAGGAUGGUAACAGCAGGCAGCUUUCCAUAACUGCUGAUUCAGACUGGCAGG
rnacentral:lncRNA from 1 species